rnacentral:rRNA from 1 species
UACGUAGGGUGCAAGCGUUAAUCGGAAUUACUGGGCGUAAAGCGUGCGCAGGCGGUGAUGUAAGACAGGUGUGAAAUCCCCGGGCUUAACCUGGGAGCUGCGUCUGUGACUGCAUCGCUGGAGUGCGGCAGAGGGGGAUGGAAUUCCGCGUGUAGCAGUGAAAUGCGUAGAUAUGCGGAGGAACACCGAUGGCGAAGGCAAUCCCCUGGGCCUGCACUGACGCUCAUGCACGAAAGCGUGGGGAGCAAACAGG